rnacentral:rRNA from 1 species
GCCGCUAUUCGUGCUAGGGCUGCAUAAUCACUUGUCUUUUAAAUGAAGACUGGAACAAAAGAUUUAACAUUUUAGCUUAUUUACCUAGUUUAAAAAAUUAAAUCUUUCCUAAAUGUAAAAAGACAUUUAUAUAUAAGAAAGACGAUAAGACCCUAUUGAACUUAACUGUAGUUAAACUGGGGCAGUAAAUUAAUUAUUAUUUUAAUAAAAAUAUAAACGCUAUUAUCUAAUAAUAUUAAAUAAUUCAGUUACCAUAGGGAUAACAGCGUAAUAGAAUUUUAAAGAUCUUAUAUUAAAAUCAGAUUACGACCUCGAUGUUGAAUUAAUAUGCUAAUUAAGGCAAAACUUAAUAAAGCAAGUCUGUUCGACUUUUAAAAAAUUACAUGAUUUGAGUUCAGACCGGUGUAAGCCAGGUCGGUUUCUAUCUUCUAAAUAAUUUUUUACAGUACGAAAGGACCUAAAAAAAUAAUU